rnacentral:rRNA from 1 species
GUGUCAGCAGCCGCGGUAAUACAGAGGGUGCGAGCGUUGUCCGGAAUCACUGGGCGUAAAGGGCGCGUAGGCGGUUCCCUAAGUGUGUGGUGAAAGCUCGGGGCUCAACCCCGAGUCGGCCGUGCAAACUGGGGAACUUGAGCAUGUCAGAGGCAGGCGGAAUUCCGGGUGUAGCGGUGGAAUGCGUAGAGAUCCGGAAGAACACCGGUGGCGAAGGCGGCCUGCUGGGACAUGGCUGACGCUGAGGCGCGACAGCGUGGGGAGCAAACAGGAUUAGAAACCCGCGUAGUCC